GAAUUGCUAGUAAUGGCAGGUCAGCAUACUGCCGUGAAUACGUUCCCGGGCCUUGUACACACCGCCCGUCACACCAUGAGAGUUGGAAAUACCCGAAGCCUGUGAGCUAACUUAAAGAGGCAGCAGUCGAAGGUAGAGCCAAUGAUUGGGGUGAAGUCGUAACAAGGUAAC
rnacentral:rRNA from 1 species